rnacentral:tRNA from 1 species
UGUCGGUGGCCGCGGUCGCGGUGCUGGCGGUCAUCUCGCCGGCGUCGGCGGUCCUGCUGGCGGCCUGUCUGAUCGUCGCCGGCGUCGUCGCCC